UACGGAGGGGGCUAGCGUUGUUCGGAAUUACUGGGCGUAAAGCGCACGUAGGCGGCUUUGUAAGUUAGAGGUGAAAGCCUGGGGCUCAACCCCGGAACUGCCUUUAAGACUGCAUCGCUUGAAUCCAGGAGAGGUGAGUGGAAUUCCGAGUGUAGAGGUGAAAUUCGUAGAUAUUCGGAAGAACACCAGUGGCGAAGGCGGCUCACUGGCCUGGUAUUGACGCUGAGGUGCGAAAGCGUGGGGAGCAAACAGG
rnacentral:rRNA from 1 species